rnacentral:tRNA from 1 species
CCUGGUGGCUCAGAGGGUCAAGCGUCUGCCUGCAGUGCAGGAGACCUGGGUUCGAUCCCUAGGUCAGGA